GCGGUGCUGCGGGGUGCGACGGAAACAUACUCCCGGGGCCUUACGAUCCUGAAGGGAGCUGUCCCUGACCGGGCCCCUGGGUCCGGACAUAUGGCGCCCACCUACUUAUGUAGGUUCCCGGGGUCGAAUUCCGGCGGCUUCUGUGGCCCGCA
rnacentral:other from 1 species